GAUGAACGCUGGCGGCGUGCCUAAUACAUGCAAGUCGAACGCACAGCGAAAGGUGCUUGCACCUUUCAAGUGAGUGGCGAACGGGUGAGUAACACGUGGAUAACCUACCUCAAGGUUGGGGAUAACAUUUGGAAACAGAUGCUAAUACCGAAUAAAACUUCGUAUCGCAUGAUACAAGGUUAAAAGGCGCUACGGCGUCACCUAGAGAUGGAUCCGCGGUGCAUUAGUUAGUUGGUGGGUAAAGGCCUACCAAGACAAUGAUGCAUAGCCGAGUUGAGAGACUGAUCGGCCACAUUGGACUGAGACACGGCCCAAACUCCUACGGGAGGCUGCAGUAGGGAAUCUUCCACAAUGGGCGAAAGCCUGAUGGAGCAACGGCCACGUGUGUGAUGAAGGCUUUCGGGUCGUAAAGCACUGUUGUAUGGGAAGAACAGCUAGAGUAGGGAAUGAC
rnacentral:rRNA from 1 species